GCCCUUGAAACUAGUAUAUAAACACCUGGAGUUAGAAAUAAAAUUGCAGCAGCAUUGGCAAACUUCACCUCGGUGUUGAGUGCUUUUGUCUGACUGUCAUCGCCGAACCUGCUUCCACCUUUCAGAGAACCUGUAUCUCCUCGUGAAAUCCCGUGUUAGCUGCCCUACGGUCGGUAGCACUUGUCAGGAGGGACUACUUCCAGCAGAAGAGAAGACAAUGGAUCUCUUAAGCUGAAAGGUUAUUGUGGCCAAUUACAGAAACAGAGAUUAUUAUAG
rnacentral:lncRNA from 1 species